rnacentral:rRNA from 1 species
UUCCGCACGCGCGCUACACUGAAGGAAUCAUCGUGUUCUGACCUACUCCGGGCGGAGCGGGUAACCCGUUGAACCUCCUUCGUGCUAGGGAUUGGGGCUUGUAAUUCUUCCCCAUGAACGAGGAAUUCCCAGUAAGCGCGAGUCAUAAGCUCGCGUUGAUUACGUCCCUGCCCUUUGUACACACCGCCCGUCGCUACUACCGAUUGAAUGGCUAAUCCCGCG